rnacentral:rRNA from 1 species
GAUGAACGCUGGCGGCGUGCCUAAUACAUGCCUGUCGAGCGAACGGACGAGAAGCUUGCUUCUCUGAUGUUAGCGGCGGACGGGUGAGUAACACGUGGAUAACCUACCUAUAAGACUGGGAUAACUUCGGGAAACCGGAGCUAAUACCGGAUAAUAUUUUGAACCGCAUGGUUCAAAAGUGAAAGACGGUCUUGCUGUCACUUAUAGAUGGAUCCGCGCUGCAUUAGCUAGUUGGUAAGGUAACGGCUUACCAAGGCAACGAUGCAUAGCCGACCUGAGAGGGUGAUCGGCCACACUGGAACUGAGACACGGUCCAGACUCCUACGGGAGGCAGCAGUAGGGAAUCUUCCGCAAUGGGCGAAAGCCUGACGGAGCAACGCCGCGUGAGUGAUGAAGGUCUUCGGAUCGUAAAACUCUGUUAUUAGGGAAGAACAUAUGUGUAAGUAACUGUGCACAUCUUGACGGUACCUAAUCAGAAAGCCACGGCUAACUACGUG